UAGCAACUGCCUGCAGCAGCUCUCCAGAAAUUAGAAGCAAAGGCUCGUGAGCUCGGCAAACAUUCUCCAUGGUUAUGGAAGCCUUGUGCUAAUGAAGCCUGUGUGGCACUUCCUGAGUUCCAGCCUUAGCCUCCUGCGAGGUCAACGGACUCAGGGUGAAGAAGCCCCAGUGGAUACAGAGAGCAUAUUCCUGAUUAGGGAGCUUUACAAGAAAUGUUAAAAAUAGCACUUCAGCACAUCAUCUGUGACCUUCUGCACUUAUUCAAAUGUGACGGAGGCAAAGUAGAUGCGGCCUGCAAAAGAAAAGGCAAAACUCCCAGCCUCUGUUUCAGAGAAGACAUCUCCGUCCAUCGUUUGGGGCUGAAUAAGCUACCUUCCUGGAUCACUUUUCUGAACAGCCGUGCCUUGGAAGGGGGCCUGAGCUGGACACCAGGGGACCUGGUGCUUUCACAGCCCUGCUGAGGAUUAGCUGUCUGACCUUGGAAAAGUCCUUUAAUCUCUUGGGGCUUCAGUUUCCUCUCCACUUAAUCUCUGAGGAACUUUCCAGUUCAAAAAUUAUUCUAUGACAGCAUUAUGCUUAAAGGAAAAGCAUUCUUGUGGACUUCCAACACAGUCUAUACCAAAACUGAUAUAUAAUAAUGUACACCUGAAAUUACACAAUGUUAUAAACCAAUAUGACCUCAACAAAAUAAAAAAUAAAAUAAAAUUAUAACAAAAAAAUUACUUAAAUACACAAACUUAGAACUAGAUAUAAACUCCUCAUGCAAAUAAUUUUAGAGAUUUGAAACAAGC
rnacentral:lncRNA from 1 species